AGGACGAUCCGUUGCCAGGCUGGACAAAAUCAGGAAGAAGGAUUCAUCAAUGCUCUGAUCCCGAAGGGCGACACAGCCCAGUAGUAGGUGUUGCUUGCCCGAUAUUAUACGAAGGAGAUCCAGGAGAUCCUCAGGAGCCUGAUGUGGAUGCAGCAAUCUUAAUAUUUAUAAUAAUGUAUCUCAUAUUCAAGAUGUAAAUAAAUUUGCUUUCUUUUCUA